rnacentral:rRNA from 1 species
UGGGGAAUUUUGCGCAAUGGGGGAAACCCUGACGCAGCAACGCCGCGUGGAGGAUGAAAUCCCUUGGGAUGUAAACUCCUUUCGAUAGGGAAGAUAAUGACGGUACCUAUAGAAGAAGCCCCGGCUAACUUCGUGCCAGCAGCCGCGGUAAUACGAGGGGGGCAAGCGUUGUUCGGAAUUAUUGGGCGUAAAGGGUGCGUAGGCGGUUUGACAAGUCUUAUGUGAAAUCUUCGGGCUCAACCCGAAGUCUGCAUGGGAAACUGUCGGGCUUGAGUAUGGGAGAGGUGAGUGGAAUUUCCGGUGUAGCGGUGAAAUGCGUAGAUAUCGGAAGGAACACCUGUGGCGAAAGCGGCUCACUGGACCAUAACUGACGCUGAUGCACGAAAGCUAGGGGAGCAAACAGG